GGAGGUAUACCUCAAAUGGUAGAGCACAUGCUUAGCAUGAUGAGGUCCUAGGUUCAAUCCCCAGUACCUCCC
rnacentral:tRNA from 1 species